CCUACGGGAGGCAGCAGUGGGGAAUAUUGGACAAUGGGGGGAACCCUGAUCCAGCGACGCCGCGUGAGUGAAGAAGUAUUUCGGUAUGUAAAGCUCUAUCAGCAGGGAAGAAAGAAAUGACGGUACCUGACUAAGAAGCCCCGGCUAACUACGUGCCAGCAGCCGCGGUAAUACGUAGGGGGCAAGCGUUAUCCGGAUUUACUGGGUGUAAAGGGAGCGUAGACGGUUACGCAAGUCUGGAGUGAAAGGCGGGGGCCCAACCCCCGGACUGCUUUGGAAACUGUAUAACUGGAGUGAAGGAGAGGUAAGUGGAAUUCCUAGUGUAGCGGUGAAAUGCGUAGAUAUUAGGAGGAACACCAGUGGCGAAGGCGGCUUACUGGACUGUAACUGACGUUGAGGCUCGAAAGCGUGGGGAGCAAACAGGAUUAGAUACCCCAGUAGUC
rnacentral:rRNA from 1 species